rnacentral:sRNA from 1 species
GAAAGGCCUAGUUGCUAAUUGGAGACUUUCUCCCACCUCAGCCCAAACAGGAGUCACCUUGGGAAACAGGGAGGUGUGGAGAAGUGUGUGGUCCGCUGCUGGCCCUUCUCCUGACCCCCAUACUCCUGAGCCCGGAUGUUGGUACUCCCCAACCUCACGUUCUGCCCAUAGAGGACAAGCUGUGGCUGAAGCCCUAUGUGGACCUCCAGGCAUACGAGGACCCUGCACAGGGAGCCUUGGACUUUACCCGGGAGCUUGAUCCAGCGUGGCUGAUGGUGGACACUGUCAUAGGAGAAGGAGAGUUUGGGGAAGUGUAUCGAGGGACCCUGAGGCUCCCCAGCCAGGACUGCAAGACUGUGGCCAUUAAGACCUUAAAAGACACAUCCCCAGGUGGCCAGUGGUGGAACUUCCUUCGAGAGGCAACUAUCAUGGGCCAGUUUAGCCACCCGCAUAUUCUGCAUCUGGAAGGUGUCGUCACAAAGCGAAAGCCGAUCAUGAUCAUCACAGAAUUUAUGGAGAAUGGAGCCCUGGAUGCCUUCCUGAGGGAGCGGGAGGACCAGCUGGUCCCUGGGCAGCUAGUGGCCAUGCUGCAGGGCAUAGCAUCUGGCAUGAACUACCUCAGUAAUCACAAUUAUGUCCACCGGGACCUGGCUGCCAGAAACAUCUUGGUGACUCAAAACCUGUGCUGCAAGGUGUCUGACUUUGGCCUGACUCGCCUCCUGGAUGACUUUGAUGGCACAUACGAAACCCAGG